UGCAAUUUGCGAGGAAAUGAAUUUUUUUGUGAAGUUGAUGAUGAGUACAUCCAGGAUGAUUUUAAUCUUUGUGGUUUAAGCAGUCAAGUUCCAUAUUAUGAUUAUGCACUUGAUCUGAUUUUGGAUGUUGAAUCCUCCCAUGGUGAUAUGUUUACUGAAGAACAGAACGAGUUGGUGGAAUCUGCAGCAGAGAUGCUGUAUGGUCUAAUCCAUGUGCGAUACAUACUAACUAGCAAGGGAAUGUCAGUCAUGUUAGAGAAGUACAAAAACUAUGAUUUUGG
rnacentral:misc_RNA from 1 species